rnacentral:rRNA from 1 species
GACGGUCUUGCUGUCACUUAUAGAUGGAUCCGCGCUGCAUUAGCUAGUUGGUAAGGUAACGGCUUACCAAGGCAACGAUGCAUAGCCGACCUGAGAGGGUGAUCGGCCACACUGGAACUGAGACACGGUCCAGACUCCUACGGGAGGCAGCAGUAGGGAAUCUUCCGCAAUGGGCGAAAGCCUGACGGAGCAACGCCGCGUGAGUGAUGAAGGUCUUCGGAUCGUAAAACUCUGUUAUUAGGGAAGAACAUAUGUGUAAGUAACUGUGCACAUCUUGACGGUACCUAAUCAGAAAGCCACGGCUAACUACGUGCCAGCAGCCGCGGUAAUACGUAGGUGGCAAGCGUUAUCCGGAAUUAUUGGGCGUAAAGCGCGCGUAGGCGGUUUUUUAAGUCUGAUGUGAAAGCCCACGGCUCAACCGUGGAGGGUCA